rnacentral:rRNA from 1 species
GCCUACGGGUGGCAGCAGUGAGGAAUAUUGGUCAAUGAGCGGAAGCCGGAACCAGCCAAGUCGCGUGAGGGAUUAAGGCCCUGCGGGUCGUAAACCUCUUUUGCCGGGGAGCAGAGGUCCGGACGUGUCCGGGCCGGGAGAGUACCCGGAGAAAAAGCAUCGGCAAACCCCGUGCCAGCAGCCGCGGUAAUACGGAGGAUGCGAGGGUUAUCCGGAUUUAUUGGUUUUAAAGGUGGCGUAGGCGGGCAUUUAAGCCGGCGGUCAAAUGUCGGGGCUCAACCCCGGCCUGCCGUCGGUACUGGGUGCCUUGAGUGGGCGAGAAGUAUGCGGAAUGCGUGGUGUAGCGGUGAAAUGCAUAGAGAUCACGCAGAACCCCGAUUGCGAAGGCAGCAUACCGGCGCCCUACUGACGCUGAGGCACGAAAGUGCGGGUAUCGAACAGGAUUAGAUACCCGAGUAGUC